AGCUUAGCAGCCAAGAGCCUUCUGGUGAUGUUAGCCAUUUCUAGGAAAGCCAAGAUCCAACUUUUUAUUUCUAACUGAUGGUGACUUCCUGGGUCAUGAUGGAGGACAAGCAUUUUCCACAAAGAGGAAGGCAUAUUUUGGAGACUACCACAGCGUGCACUUAAGACUUGGGUCCCUGGUCUGCACUGAGCCAUCAUGAGGGAUGUUGGCUUCAGCAGAACCAGCCUACAGCACCUUUCCCAACACUGUCCUGGACUUUUCCCAGCUGUGAGAUCUAGAAGAGAAGCAGCAGGAGAUCAGGGAAGACUGGUGGGAAGCCAGGACAAAAAUGACCAAAACUGGAAGAUUCGUCACCACCCUUGAGAAGAAUAAAGGAGCAGGAUGGAGGACCGUGGAGACAUCUGCUCAGAGGUGGGGAGAGCAGAGGGUGACCUGUGUGAGCCUAGGAGGCCAGAGCCUGAAAUGGUCUUGUUAUAUGAGAGACCAGGCUGCUGCUCAGACAAGCAGGGCUUGAUCUGCGCAUGGGACAAAAGAACGGGGGGGGGGGAUUUGAUCAGUAAUUCUUUGCAUGCAGCUAAAAACAGCAGCCCAGGAGUGA
rnacentral:lncRNA from 1 species